rnacentral:rRNA from 1 species
AGCAGCCGCGGUAAUUCCAGCUCCAAUAGCGUAUAUUAAAGUUGUUGCAGUUAAAAAGCUCGUAGUUGAAUUUCGGGAUCAAGUCGUCGGUCGUGCUCAGGUACGUACUGGCGUCAUUGAUUUCUCCCUUCUGACGAACCAUGAUGUCAUUAAUUUGGUGUUAUGGGAAAUCAGGACUGUUACUUUGAAAAAAUUAGAGUGUUUAAAGCAGGCUCGCGCUUGAAUACAUUAGCAUGGAAUAAUGAAAUAGGACGUUCGAUCCUAUUUUGUUGGUUUUAGGAUCAACGUAAUGAUUAAUAGGGAUAGUUGGGGGCAUUAGUAUUCAAUUGUCAGAGGUGAAAUUCUUGGAUUUAUUGAAGACUAACUACUGCGAAAGCAUUUGCCAAGGAUGUUUUCAUUAAUCAAGAACGAAAGUUAGGGGAUCGAAGACGAUCAGAUACCGUCGUAGUCUUAACCAUAAACUAUGCCGACUAGGGAUCGGAUGAUGUUAAUUUUUUAAUGACUCAUUCGGCGCCUUACG